ensembl:snoRNA small nucleolar RNA SNORA8
AGCACUGUGUGGUAUCUGCAGCCAGUUGUCCUGUCAGCUGGUUUGUUCAAAAGUCAGUGCUAGACUAAUUCAACACCUGGCAUCGUUGGUCUCCAUGCUGCCUAUGUUUGGAGUCCUGGUAUAUUUGUUGAAACACAGUG